rnacentral:rRNA from 1 species
AUUGAACGCUGGCGGCAUGCCUUACACAUGCCAGUCGAACGGCAGCACGGGUGCUUGCACCUGGUGGCGAGUGGCGAACGGGUGAGGAAUACAUCGGAACAUGUCCUGUAGUGGGGGAUAGCCCGGCGAAAGCCGGAUUAAUACCGCAUACGAUCUACGGAUGAAAGCGGGGGACCUUCGGGCCUCGCGCUAUAGGGUUGGCCGAUGGCUGAUUAGCUAGUUGGUGGGGUAAAGGCCUACCAAGGCGACGAUCAGUAGCUGGUCUGAGAGGACGACCAGCCACACUGGGGCUGAGACACGGCCCAGACUCCUACGGGAGGCAGCAGUGGGGAAUUUUGGACAAUGGGCGAAAGCCUGAUCCAGCAAUGCCGCGUGUGUGAAGAAGGCCUUCGGGUUGUAAAGCACUUUUGUCCGGAAAGAAAUCCUUGGCCCUAAUACGGUCGGGGGAUGACGGUACCGGAAGAAUAAGCACCGGCUAACUACGUG